AUGGGUGCGGGUGUGGAGAGAUCCAACAACAAAAGAACCAUGGCGGCCGAUCCGAUCAGUCGAGUCGAUCCCUUGGCGAAGAAGAAGAUGGUGGUGGAUCUGGGGAGGGACAGCGACGAGGACUUGCCUAAUCCGUCACAAUGGGCGGGUGUUAAUCCCGAUUCCUUCAGCGAUGACUACUUGGCCAUGAUGGAAAAGGCCAGACUCGACGAAGAAUCAGCUCCCCGCCCUGUGAAAAUUGCUACGCUCGACUACUACAAACCUCCCACCAGGUUUCACACCGUUGGGCUUUUCCCCGUUUGUCGAUCCGGAAGCAAGGCGGUACUCCACGCCGCUAAAUUUCUUCUAGGGGUUUCAUCCUCUCUCGAUGGUAGGCCGCUAAGACGGUGCUCUGGCCUCUGGGUCGAUUGGGAUGUGUAG
rnacentral:rRNA from 1 species